CCGCGGUAUGGAUGGUCAGGCGGAAUACAACUUUGAAGUAUCGAUGAACAAAAACAAGGCGCACGUGGUAUAGAAACCCUUCAGUUAGUGACGCAUCUGACUCAUCAACAUCACCUGCCAGUUGUGUAUCAAAUAAAA